AGAGUUUGAUUCAUGGCUCAGAACGUACGCUGGCGGCACGCCUAACACAUGCAAGUCGAACGAAGUAGCAAUACUUAGUGGCAGACGGGUGAGUAACAUGUAGGUAUCUGCCCUUUGGCCUGGAAUAACACGAGGAAACUUGUGCUAAUACCGGAUAAGUCUUUACGGAGAAAGCUUUAUGCACCAUUGGAUGAGCCUGCACUUGAUUAGUUUGUUGGUAGGGUAAUGGCCUACCAAGACUGUGAUCAAUAGCUGAUUUGAGAGGAUGAUCAGCCACAUUGGGACUGAGACACGGCCCAAACUCCUACGGGAGGCAGCAGUGGGGAAUCUUGCACAAUGGAGGAAACUCUGAUGCAGCGAUGCCGCGUGAGUGAAGAAGGCCUUUGGGUUGUAAAGCUCUUUCGUCGGGGAAGAAAAUGACUGUACCCGAAUAAGAAGGUCCGGCUAACUUCGUGCCAGCAGCCGCGGUAAUACGAAGGGACCUAGCGUAGUUCGGAAUUACUGGGCUUAAAGAGCUCGUAGGUGGUUGAAAAAGUUGAUGGUGAAAUCCCAAGGCUCAACCUUGGAACUGCCAUCAAAACUUUUCAGCUAGAGUAUGAUAGAGGAAAGCAGAAUUUCUAGUGUAGAGGUGAAAUUCGUAGAUAUUAGAAAGAAUACCAAUUGCGAAGGCAGCUUUCUGGAUCAUUACUGACACUGAGGAACGAAAGCAUGGGUAGCGAAGAGGAUUAGAUACCCUCGUAGUCCAUGCCGUAAACGAUGUGUGUUAGACGUUGGAAAUUUAUUUUCAGUGUCGCAGCGAAAGCGAUAAACACACCGCCUGGGGAGUACGACCGCAAGGUUAAAACUCAAAUGAAUUGACGGGGACCCGCACAAGUAGUGGAGCAUGUGGUUUAAUUCGAAGAUACGCGCAGAACCUUACCAACACUUGACAUGUUCGUCGCGACUUUAAGAGAUUAAAGUUUUCGGUUCGGCCGGACGAAACACAGGUGCUGCAUGGCUGUCGUCAGCUCGUGUCGUGAGAUGUUGGGUUAAGUCCCGCAACGAGCGCAACCCUCACUUUUAGUUGCCAUCAUUAAGUUGGGCACUCUGAAAGAACUGCCAGUGAUAAGCUGGAGGAAGGUGGGGAUGACGUCAAGUCCUCAUGGCCCUUACGUGUUGGGCUACACACGUGCUACAAUGGCAUUUACAAUAGGAAGCAAGAUGGCGACAUCAAGCAAAUCCUAAAAAGAUGCCUCAGUUCGGAUUGUACUCUGCAACUCGAGUACAUGAAGCUGGAAUUACUAGUAAUCGCGGAUCAGCGCGCCGCGGUGAAUACGUUCCCGGGUCUUGUACACACCGCCCGUCACACCAUGGGAGUUGGUUCUACCUUAAGGCAAGGUUUAAAACCCUUGACCACGGUAUAGUCAGCGACUGGGGUGAAGUCGUAACAAGGUAGCCGUA
rnacentral:rRNA from 1 species